rnacentral:lncRNA from 1 species
AUAUUUAUGAUUCAUAAAUUAAUUGAUUAAAUUUAAAAUCAAUUUUUGAUUUUACAAUCAUUCCUUUCAUAACAUUUGAACGAAGGGCGCAUAUAAUUAUAGAGUGUAUAGUUAUUUAUUAUGUCAACACUCAUUUUAAGGUAGGAUAAGCGAAAAUAUACAGGAAAAUCGCACCUGGUAUAGAACAUUUUAGUGUAUAUUUUCUGUUAACAAGUCAGUUCGUCGUUAUCGAUUUUUAAAUUUAACUUCUUCGAUAUGAAUCAACCCUGGAAGAAAUAUAAUAAAAAAAAAAAGAACUUAAAUAAGAGCCUAUAGGUCGUGCAGUUUCGUUGUCAGUCUAUUUUCUAAUUCGCCUUUGAUUAUAAAGGUCUAGACGUAGAACAACGUUGACACCCAUAACAUAUGACGUAAGGUAAAAUACCACUUAAAAACAGAUAAUUGCGAAAUAAUUUGCACCUACCUACAUGUAGUGCCGAUGAAGUAAAAGUACAUAUAUAUAGCUGAAGGUCCGGUAUGUCUUGCCUAACGACUUUACCCGGUGUAGCCCAUUACCAGCAUCAGCUGCCUGAGUGUUUUUCAAUAAGUGCUCUGGGAAAGAAUGGUACAACAUUAAUGGUACUUUAGUCCAGCCGUCGCUGAGUCUCCCGACUUUCUUCAUUUACUAAGUUUUCUAUCCUUGGUUUGUUAUACGGUCAUCGACUAUACAUACCCUAGGCAAAUAAAACAAUAAUUUUUCUCAUGUAUUUUUAUUCCAACUCUGUCAAUCGCGCUACUGCCAAAGUAUGCGAAUUAUAUACUGAUAAUUUUGCAUAAUAAUUAAUAUUUAAUGUCUCGCUUCGAGAGGAAAAUUUUUUUUUUUUUUUACGCGGUCUCCGUGCUUCCAUCUAUUGAUGGGAAAACCAAACAAUAAAUUGAUAAUUAGUCUAAAAUUUGUCGUUUAUCGGACAGAAGGGUCUUUUGUUUAUUCCGGACGAUAUUCGGUAUUUACGGAAUUUUGAUUGUUUUGUCAGAACGUAAAAGUUUGAAUGCUUUUAACUUUGGAAUGAUCAGAUAAGCAAACGAGGAGACAAACAUCUGACUAUAUCAAAUUGUCUAGCUUUGUAAUUACGUAAGUAGGAUCCCUCUGACCAAUUUCCUGCUUUAGGAACAAUGGGAGCUCGACUAGAUAAGGUGAAAUACCUCACAACCAAGCGGAAACACGAUAACUAAAUGAGAGAGGAAGAUGAGAUCGUAACCGUCUCUCCCUAGAGAUUAUCAGGAUCUCAGGUACGAAAAGACAAAGGAACCGAGUAGAUAACGUAGGGCUGUAAUGGUUAACCUGUAUUUUAAAAUUUUAAAAGCGUCAAAGAAUAGUUUUUAUCCAAAUUUUUCUUUUUUUUCUUUUCUUUUUAAAUUCUUUUGAAAUCGCAUACGUGUUUCUCUAUUCAAUGCAUUUCUGGCUUGGUUCCCGAAAUUGCUGCCUGAGCAUAAAAGACGGUGGCAUAUACUUGUCAGUUCUGGCGACUUCUUCUCAUUCAUCAACUCGCCGGCGGCAAACAAUAGGAACGUCAUAUCCAGGUAAUUGGCGCAAUUUCGGCAUCACCUGGACGUUCUUAUCGCUCCCAACCCGUUGCCAUAUAUCAGCUAGCUGGUAACAAUGCGCUAGGCAAUUACGCUAGUUGAUAUAAAGUGUGAAGUACCGUGAUUAAUAAUCCAUCAACGAGUUACCAGGUGCUACCAUUAGUCAGUAAUCGCCCGACUAUUCAUCCGAUGCGCCUUUUUUUUUUUUAUUUUCCAGCAUCAAAUUUGCCCUGGGGCUUAAAGCUGGAUAGGUUGCGCCGUGCAGAUUUAGUUAUUUUGGUCAUUUAGUUCGAUAAAGUGGGCAUAUUCAUGAACGAGCUUUAUGCUAAAAUGUCAACUGGGGCAUAGCUUAACGUCAAAAUGUAGAUAGUUGGCCGUUUAAGUCCGAUCUAUUGACCUAACCACGAUGAAGUCGAAAUGUAUGUCGGACAGAUGUGUGUUUCCGGCCCGGUUAGCCUGUGUGACAUACACGGCUAUUGGAGCAACUUCGGUCCCUUCCUACGUCAUUUAUUUCCGCUCUUCGCUGUCAGGACAGAUAGCACAGACAACUGCACACUACAGACAUAACUUUCGAUGCUACCAGCAGGAAAAGACUUUUCUAUUCUGUGUCUUCGAUAAGAAUGCAAUCGGAUUAAGCUUCACCUAGUCGGAAGAAGAAGGGAAAAAAAUUCGAUUUUAAUGCGCAACUUAUAAUAAUAUUUGGAUUUAAAGAAUAAGAAGGGAAAAAAAAAUGUUUGGUGCAAUGAAAAAGGAAAUUAUCCUAUAGAACUGUUAAAUCCGAUGUACUGUAAAGAUUUGGUGCGGAAGCCAACCGUCUUCUUUUAUCUGUGCGGAUUAUACUCGAUGUAUGUCUAUCGGCAAUAAAGACUCGACACUGUAAGCAGAACGCUCUUCCAAGAAUUUAGUUUCUGUAAUCGGGUUUCAACAUAAUCCAUUGGGACAAUCGAAUUCCCAGCAAGCUGUUGAAACGACAUUGUCUCUUCUUUUCUAGCUCCGGAUUCCUAUCUCCAUCCGUCACAAAGGUUUCCGGAGAAAAUUGGGCUACCUGAGUCAACUUCCAUAAAAGGUAGACGAGUUUCCAACAGGACCGAGUUGGCGAUUUCCGGCUUAGAACUCUCAUAUCCAAUAGAUAAAUAUUUCAUUCCAUUAGUGAAACGUUCCAAUCCUUCUUGUAUACAGAGCACAUCUGUAGAAGUAACUGGAGAUAUGCUCGACACAAGUUGCUAAACACGCGAGUCUUACAGCCAAUUCGCAUUUGAUUACCUCCUCUUAUCAUAUUUACUCAUCUUUAGGGAGUAACUGCGAUAUUUGAACAGUUUGCGAAAUGAUUUUUUUUCAUCUCCUAUAACUUAUAUAUAAAGUAGGGCAUAUUAAAUUCGUUGCUGC